UCUCUGGUGGCUCAGAUGGUAAAGAAUCUGCCUGCGAUGCAGGAGACCCAGGUUCGAUCCCUGGUUUGGAAA
rnacentral:tRNA from 1 species